UACGUAGGGGGCAAGCGUUAUCCGGAAUUACUGGGUGUAAAGGGAGCGUAGACGGUAAUGUAAGUCUGGAGUGAAAGGCGGGGGCCCAACCCCCGGACUGCUCUGGAAACUAUGUUACUAGAGUGCAGGAGAGGUAAGCGGAAUUCCUAGUGUAGCGGUGAAAUGCGUAGAUAUUAGGAGGAACACCAGUGGCGAAGGCGGCUUACUGGACUGUAACUGACGUUGAGGCUCGAAAGCGUGGGGAGCAAGCAGG
rnacentral:rRNA from 1 species